UUCCAGCUUCCCUCCUAGUACCUGCCGCGCAGCCUGUGCUGGAUACUCUGGUUCAUCAAGGGUGGAGAACCCGCUAUCCUGCCACCGCCAGAACUCUAGGACUACAUUACCCACAAGAUCCUGCAUUCCGAGGAGCCGAAGACGCAUCAGGACAAGCAUAUCUGCGCGUGCGCAUCGCGUCGGGGCGGGACUUCGGCCCCAGCGCGCGUUUUGCAGUUCUGAGGGAUCCCUUCCGCAGGGCCGAGGCACUCCCAGGACUGCAGAAGUACUUGUGGAACCAGCACGGGUAUGUAGAGGGUGUCUUAGUCGUUUCCUAGCCCUGACUGACACCCAGAUGUUCUCUGGACUCUUACGUGCUGUUUUCCUAGUCCUUGGGUCUGAGGACAGUAGAGAAACCCCAAUCUCAGAGUCCUAAGUUGAUGUCAGGGGUUAUAUGACGGUGUUCCCAUUUCUGUCAUCCAACAUAAACGAGUGUUUAGGGUUAACCCAGGAGCAGGUAUCAGGAUGUGCAAAUACAAGGAGGUAAAGCAGAGUUGGGGGUGUUCAGGAAUCACAGGUUUCCUUUUAUGAUGUGAACAAAGAGCAGGAGGACACGUGUCAGGAUAGGAAUGACUGUCUGAAAAAUUAGGUGUCUCUUCUGGACAUCAUAGGGGGUUUGGUCAGAAGAGAGAGAUAAUGUCAGAAAAGUAAAAAACAGUCUCCUGUAAAGCAGAGAAUAGACCAUGGAAAUGAUGAGGGACAAGGGAAAUCAGGGCAAAGGCUACUACCAUAAACCAGGUGAAGGUUAAUUGACCAGGACUAUGGUUUAGGGUGGUCACAUUUUUGGAUGCAACCAUGGAUUCAUGUUUUAAAAAGGGAAACUAGAUUUUCUAAUGUGGGUGGUGAGGGGGAGAAACAGGUAUCAGGGAUUAACACCAGGGUGUUUGAUCUCUGCAGCUGUAGGGAUGGAAGUUCCAAUUGAGGAGGAAGUUGUUAGUAGAAAUAAUGUUCACUGGGGAUAUCAGGAGCUUUGUUUUGGCCAUGUUUAGAUUCAGAGGUAUUUCAGAGACCACUGAGGGGAGGCAUCAAAUUGGCAGCUGGAAACACAAGUUGGGAAAUCAAAAGAACAUUUCAAAUUGGAGACAUUCAGAAUGUAGUAUUUAUGUGGACUCAAGGAAGUGACCUGUGGUUACGUUUAGGAGGUAUAACCUUGUUGAUUGGUGUGAAGCUGUUCAUAGGCCAGGAAGUAGAGGGUAGGGGCUGAGCACUGGGUCUUUUGCUUGGGUACCUGAGUGAUGGUAUUGGAAUUCAUAAAUGCCAAUUAGGGAGAUUUGUGCCCUUAAAAGUAGGGUGUUUCAGACAGACUAGUCUAGCAGGUGGCCAACGCUUCCAAGAUAAGAAUGGACGUGAGAGAGAUGCAGAGACAAGGGGUAACU
rnacentral:lncRNA from 1 species